rnacentral:rRNA from 1 species
AUACGGAGGGGGUUAGCGUUGUUCGGAAUUACUGGGCGUAAAGCGUACGUAGGCGGACUAGUAAGUGAGGGGUGAAAUCCCAGGGCUCAACCCUGGAACUGCCUUUCAUACUGCUAGUCUUGAGGUCGAGAGAGGUGAGUGGAAUUCCGAGUGUAGAGGUGAAAUUCGCAGAUAUUCGGAGGAACACCAGUGGCGAAGGCGGCUCACUGACUCGAUACUGACGCUGAGGUACGAAAGUGUGGGGAGCAAACAGGAUUAGAUACCCUAGUAGUCC